rnacentral:rRNA from 1 species
GACGAACGCUGGCGGCGUGCGUAACACAUGCAAGUCGAACGAGAGAGUGAGAGAAGCUUGCUUUUCUUACGAUCGAGUGGCAAACGGGUGAGUAACGCGUAAACAACCUGCCCCGCAGAUGGGGACAACAGCUGGAAACGGCUGCUAAUACCGAAUACGGUCCUCUUAGCGCAUGGUAAGAGGAAGAAAGGGUGGCCUCUGGAACAAGCUACCGCUGCGGGAGGGGUUUGCGUCUGAUUAGCUGGUUGGAGGGGUAACGGCCCACCAAGGCGACGAUCAGUAGCCGGUCUGAGAGGAUGAACGGCCACAUUGGAACUGAGACACGGUCCAGACUCCUACGGGAGGCAGCAGUGGGGAAUCUUCCGCAAUGGGCGAAAGCCUGACGGAGCAACGCCGCGUGAGUGAAGACGGCCUUCGGGUUGUAAAGCUCUGUUAUAGGGGGACGAAACGGGCCCGGGUAGCGAAAGAAGGUAGCCCGGCCAUG